rnacentral:lncRNA from 1 species
AAUUGGGUCAUCCCCAAAUUGAAUCUACUUCUCAAAAUCGAUUCCGGUCGAAAAGAAAACACAAACUGGCGCAUGAUUCUGCUCACAAACUAAACCCUAAUUCGUUUCGUUGUGUUGAUUGUGCUCACAAACUCAGAAAAUUGAUUCUUCUCCCUAAACUCAUGAACCCUAAUCCGUUCAGUUGUUGACCUGAGAAAGAUGAAGAAACGCGAUUCAUUCCAAGAAAGCAACAAACCCCAGCCUCCUCAUUGAAAGAAACGCGAUUCCUUCACUACGUGCUUUUCGUCUCGACAAAACGCUAUUCUUUCCUUUCGUUCCGACAUCUAUUCUGGCAAGGUACUCACUCUUUGAUUCAUUUUCAAAUCUUAUAUGGGAGGAGAGAAGGGUAGAAAACUCGUUGUUGUUUGUUAUUAGGUGGAGAAUGUGGUUUCUCUGCAAGGGGUUUCUCUUUUGCACUAGUUUGUUAUUAAUGCAUAAUAAAGUUUCUAUUAUGCCAUCUUAGGCUAAUGUAAUUUUGAAGGUGAUGUUUAGAUAAACACUUUAAUUUAAUACUUAUUCAAUAAGCACUUAUUGUGUAAGUGCUUAUGUAUAUCUAUAAUGAGAAAAAAAAAAAAUGAUGGUCACAUAAAAUUCUGAACAAGCUUUUUGAUAAACUGUACUAGGGAGUUUAGUAAACUAAACUUUAACUUGGAUAAUUUUGAAGUAUUUUCUAGCUAUGUCUAAGAAAUAAGAAUAGUGAAAUAUUUAUGCUUGUAUUCAAUUUUUUUCUUAAUUUUCUUCCUCUUGACUUAAUUUUUUUCUUCUUUUUCUUCCUCUUGAGUUUAUAAAAUCUUGACUUAAUUUUUUCUUCUUUUUCUUCCUCUUGAAGAUAUUAUGUUUCUUUCUUUCUUCCUCUUGAAUAUAUUGUAGUGUUUAUGUGGUUAAGAUUUUUGUCAAUUUUCAAGUUAAGGAAGAAACUUAGCACAACAACAUUAUUGUUUUUGAUUUUAGUUUUCUUGUGAUCCUGCUGUUUUAAGAUCAGGCAAAGCUCAUGUCUUAGUCUAUGGAAUGUAAGGAACAAUAGUUGAGG